GACGAACGCUGGCGGCGUGCUUAACACAUGCAAGUCGAACGAAGUGGCGAACGGGUGAGUAACGCGUAAUCAACCUGCCCUUCAGAGGGGGACAACAGUUGGAAACGACUGCUAAUCCCGCAUACUGAAGGAGGGGAUUGCGUCUGAUUAGCUAGUGGGGGGGGUAACGGCCCACCAAGGCGAUGAUCAGUAGCCGGUCUGAGAGGAUGAACGGCCACAUUGGGACUGGGGCACGGGCCAGACGUCUAAGGGAGGCAGCAGUUGGGAAUCUUCCGCAAUGGACGAAAGGCUGACGGAGCAACGCCGCGGGGGUUGUGACGGCCUUCGGGUUGUAAAGCUCUGUUAAUCGGGGCGCGGUACCGGAAUAGAAAGCCACGGCUAACUACGUGCCAGCAGCCGCGGUAAUUC
rnacentral:rRNA from 1 species